GUCUUAGUAGUUUAUAAAAAUACCAACAUGUGAGGUUGGAGAAGAUCCAUUCUUAAGACA
rnacentral:tRNA from 1 species